rnacentral:rRNA from 1 species
UACGGGGGGGGGCAAGCGUUGUUCGGAAUUACUGGGCGUAAAGGGCUCGUAGGCGGCCAACUAAGUCAGACGUGAAAUCCCUCGGCUUAACCGGGGAACUGCGUCUGAUACUGGAUGGCUUGAGUUUGGGAGAGGGACGCGGAAUUCCAGGUGUAGCGGUGAAAUGCGUAGAUAUCUGGAGGAACACCGGUGGCGAAGGCGGCGUCCUGGACCAACACUGACACUGAUGAGCGAAAGCCAGGGGAGCAAACGGGG